rnacentral:misc_RNA from 1 species
AACGCACAUUGCGCCCCUUGGUAUUCCGAGGGGCAUGCCUGUUCGAGCGUCAUUACAACCCUCAAGCACUGCUUGGUAUUGGGCUCCGCUGGUUUCAGCGGGCCUUAAAGUCAGUGGCAGCGCCGUCUGAGCUCUGAGCGUAGUAAAUCUCCUCGCUAUAGAGACCAGGUGGUCCCUCGCCAUCAACCCCCCAACUUCCUAAGUUUGACCUCGGAUCAGGUAGGGAUACCCGCUGAACUUAA